GGACACUGAAUGCUCCGAUAUGGCUGAUGUUAUUGUUGAACUGAAUCUUCUGAGUGCUUCAAAAGAAGUUUUGGAAAAGUUGAAUCCUCUACGAUGGACUAAUAAUAUGGGAUGGAUGCAAGCAGUUCUUGCAGUGCAAAACAAGAAGGAAUAAAAGUAUGCAAAUCCCAUUGAAUUGAGCCAGUUUGUGGAUUUCAUCAAGCAUGACAAACUCCAAACUGAGACCUUCAUUA